UACGUAGGGUGCGAGCGUUGUCCGGAUUUAUUGGGCGUAAAGAGCUCGUAGGCGGUCUGUCGCGUCUGCUGUGAAAACUCGGGGCUUAACCCCGGGCUUGCAGUGGGUACGGGCAGACUAGAGUGCGGUAGGGGAGACUGGAAUUCCUGGUGUAGCGGUGAAAUGCGCAGAUAUCAGGAGGAACACCGGUGGCGAAGGCGGGUCUCUGGGCCGUAACUGACGCUGAGGAGCGAAAGCGUGGGGAGCGAACAGG
rnacentral:rRNA from 1 species